UCAUUUCCUUAGCCGAAAGGUUUGGGUAAUCUUGUUAAACUCUGUCGUGCUGGGGAUAGAGCAUUGCAAUUAUUGCUCUUCAACGAGGAAUGCCUAGUAAGCGCAUGUCAUCAGCAUGCGUUGAUUAAGUCCCUGCCCUUUGUACACACCGCCCGUCGCUACUACCGAUUGGAUGGUUUAGUGAGGCCCUCGGAUCGGCCCCGCC
rnacentral:rRNA from 1 species